GUCGAGAAUCUUUCACAAUGGGGGCAACCCUGAUGGAGCGACGCCGCGUGGAGGAUAAGGUCUUCGGAUUGUAAACUCCUGUCAUGCGUGAACAAGGUUGCUUGGUUAAUACCUGGGCAAAUUGAUGGUAACGCAAGAGGAAGAGACGGCUAACUCUGUGCCAGUAGCCGCGGUAAUACAGAGGUCUCAAGCGUUGUUCGGAAUCACUGGGCGUAAAGGGUGCGUAGGUGGCGUGGUAAGUCAGAUGUGAAAGCCCGGGGCUCAACCUCGGAACUGCAUCCGAUACUGCCAUGCUAGAGUACUGGAGAGGUGACUAGAAUUCUCGGUGUAGCAGUGAAAUGCGUAGAUAUCGAGAGGAAUACCAAAGGCGUAGGCAGGUCACUGGACAGUUACUGACACUGAGGCACGAAGGCCAGGGGAGCGAACGGGAUUAGAUACCCUAGUAGUCC
rnacentral:rRNA from 1 species